AGUCAGUGUGUGGUCGGUGGGGACAACCUCUUCUAGAUGAAGGGGCUGCAGCGCUGUGUCCUCUCCUCAGUUUUUUCCUGAACAGUGGAGGCCAGUAGCACCAAAGUUAAGAAAAAAUAUUGAAGGUUUCUUAGGUGCAGGACUCACUUCUUAUGAUAGACAAUGGUCCUUUCCAUCAAGGACCCAUCAAGGAUGGAGAAGGACAGACACCACAUGGCUGCAAGGAUAUUAGACCUCACCCUGGAGAUCAUCUCCUUGAUAACUGGAGAGGAUUACACAGUAGUGAAGAAGUCGUCUGGUGAGUGUGUG